rnacentral:rRNA from 1 species
GAUGAACGCUGCCAGCAUGCUUAACACAUGCAGUCACUGAUUGUGGCGGACGGGUGAGUAACGCGUAAAGAACUUGCCUUACAGGUAGGGACAACAUUUGGAAACGAAUGCUAAUACCUAAUACUGUGAGAGAGCUUUGCGUCCCAUUAGCUAGUUGGGGAGGUAACGGCUCACCAAGGCGAUGAUGGGUAGCCGGCCUGAGAGGGUGAUCGGCCACAAGGGGGCAGAGGCAAGGCCCUUACUCCUACGGGAGGAAGCAGUGGGGAGGAUUGGACAAUGGACCAAAGUGUAGUACAGCAAUUCAGUGUACACGGUGAAGUUUUCGGAAUGUAAAGUGCUUUCCGUUGGAAAGCGGUACCAACAGAAGAAGUGACAGCUAAAUACGUGCCAGCCGCCGCGGUAAUAC